rnacentral:rRNA from 1 species
UGCAGUCGACGAAGCUUGACGGAUGAUUUCUUCGGAAUGAAACCAGAUAUGACUUAGUGGCGGACGGGUGAGUAACACGUGAGCAACCUGCCUUUCAGAGGGGGAUAACGGCUGGAAACGGUCGCUAAUACCGCAUGACGUGUUCGGAUGGCAUCAUCUGAACAUCAAAGAUUUAUCGCUGAAAGAUGGGCUCGCGUCUGAUUAGAUAGUUGGUGGGGUAACGGCCUACCAAGUCGACGAUCAGUAGCCGGACUGAGAGGUUGAACGGCCACAUUGGGACUGAGAUACGGCCCAGACUCCUACGGGAGGCAGCAGUGGGGAAUAUUGCACAAUGGGGGAAACCCUGAUGCAGCAACGCCGCGUGAAGGAUGACGGUUUUCGGAUUGUAAACUUCUUUUCUUAGUGACGAAGACAGUGACGGUAGCUAAGGAAUAAGCAUCGGCUAACUACGUGCCAGCAGCCGCGGUAAUACGUAGGAUGCAAGCGUUAUCCGGAUUUACUGGGUGUAAAGGGAGCGCAGGCGGGACUGCAAGUUGGAUGUGAAAUACCGUGGCUUAACCACGGAACUGCAUCCAAAACUGUAGUUCUUGAGUGAAGUAGAGGCAAGCGGAAUUCCGAGUGUAGCGGUGAAAUGCGUAGAUAUUCGGAGGAACACCAGUGGCGAAAGCGGCUUGCUGGG